UUCCACAAAGAUAGGCAGUCUGCAUGUUUAGUUGCCUUUUCCACACUUCAUAACGGAUCAUGAAAUUACCCACUUAAUGAAUUCGUGUAAAUAUGGCUUCCAGUGAUGCGCUGAGGGUGGGUGUAUAAGAUGGCUAAUUUUUGCAACUAGAUUCAGAGUUUUUGAUAUUUGAUUCGUAUAAUCCAAAAGCCUUUUAUUACACAGAACAUAUUACAUUCGGG
rnacentral:lncRNA from 1 species